rnacentral:rRNA from 1 species
GUCGAGGGGCAGCGGGGAAGUAGCAAUACUUCCGCCGGCGACCGGCGCACGGGUGAGUAACACGUAUGGAACCUGCCCGUAGCAGGGGGAUAAGCGGAAGAAAUUCCGUCUAAUAUCGCGUAAUAACUCCGAGAGGCAUCUCCUGGGGUUUAAAGGGUAACACCGGCUACGGAUGGCCAUGCGGCGCAUUAGCUAGUUGGCGGGGUAACGGCCCACCAAGGCGACGAUGCGUAGGGGUUCUGAGAGGAAGGUCCCCCACACUGGUACUGAGACACGGACCAGACUCCUACGGGAGGCAGCAGUGAGGAAUAUUGGUCAAUGGGCGCGAGCCUGAACCAGCCAAGUCGCGUGAGGGAAGACGGUCCUAUGGAUUGUAAACCUCUUUUGUCGGGGAGCAAAAGACGCCACGUGUGGCGUUCCGAGAGUACCCGAAGAAAAAGCAUCGGCUAACUCCGUGCCAGCAGCCGCGGUAAUACGGAGGAUGCGAGCGUUAUCCGGAUUUAUUGGGUUUAAAGGGUGCGCAGGCGGAAGAUCAAGUCAGCGGUAAAAUUGAGAGGCUCAACCUCUUCGAGCCGUUGAAACUGGUU